rnacentral:rRNA from 1 species
UACGUAGGGUGCGAGCGUUAAUCGGAAUUACUGGGCGUAAAGCGUGCGCAGGCGGUUUUGUAAGCCAGAUGUGAAAUCCCCGGGCUUAACCUGGGAAUGGCAUUUGGGACUGCAAGGCUCGAGUGCGGCAGAGGAGACUGGAAUUCCUGGUGUAGCAGUGAAAUGCGUAGAUAUCAGGAGGAACACCGAUGGCGAAGGCAGGUCUCUGGGCUGACACUGACGCUCAUGCACGAAAGCGUGGGGAGUAAACAGG